rnacentral:rRNA from 1 species
CACUCCUACGGGAGGCAGCAGUGGGGAAUAUUGGACAAUGGGCGCAAGCCUGAUCCAGCCAUGCCGCGUGAGUGAUGAAGGCCCUAGGGUUGUAAAGCUCUUUCACCGGUGAAGAUAAUGACGGUAACCGGAGAAGAAGCCCCGGCUAACUUCGUGCCAGCAGCCGCGGUAAUACGAAGGGGGCUAGCGUUGUUCGGAUUUACUGGGCGUAAAGCGCACGUAGGCGGACUAUUAAGUCAGGGGUGAAAUCCCGGGGCUCAACCCCGGAACUGCCUUUAAUACUGGUAGUCUUGAGUUCGAGAGAGGUGAGUGGAAUUCCGAGUGUAGAGGUGAAAUUCGUAGAUAUUCGGAGGAACACCAGUGGCGAAGGCGGCUCACUGGCUCGAUACUGACGCUGAGGUGCGAAAGCGUGGGGAGCAAACAGGAUUAGAUACCCCGGUAGUCCC